GGGAGCGUCGUUCAACGGACAGGAUUUCACGCUUCGAACGUGACGAUAGAGGUUCAAUUCCUCUCGCUCCUA
rnacentral:tRNA from 1 species